GCCUACACUCUAAAUCACCGCCUUGUCGUGGCCUAGCACCGCCUUGUCGUGGCCUAGCACCGCCUAGCACCGCCUCAUAGCGACCCACCAGCCAUUCCUGCCAGGACUCUCCACCAUGGCGUCCGUCAAACUGCUUCUCGUCUUCGCCCUGCUGUGCCUCGCAGCCGCGAUGGCAGGUGGACCUGGCAGACCUGAUGUUGGCCCACGUGACCUGCGUCCACCCAGGAUAGACGGCCUGCGGGGUCCACGCGGCCUAGAAGGCCAACACGGCCCACCUGACCGACAUAGCCCACCCGGACCACACGGCCGACGCGACCCAGACAGACGACCCCGCCCAGACGGCAGACCUGGCCCCCUCGGCCCACCCGGCCGCCAUAGCCCGAAUGGCCGACCCGGGGGCCGACCCGACGCCCGACCCGACGCCCGACCCGACGCCC